rnacentral:misc_RNA from 1 species
UAAGACAAAUUGGUACCAGCACAG